rnacentral:rRNA from 1 species
GUAGGUGGCAAGCGUUGUCCGGAAUUAUUGGGCGUAAAGCGCGCGCAGGCGGUCCUUUAAGUCUGAUGUGAAAGCCCACGGCUCAACCGUGGAGGGUCAUUGGAAACUGGGGGACUUGAGUACAGAAGAGGAAAGCGGAAUUCCACGUGUAGCGGUGAAAUGCGUAGGGAUGUGGAGGAACACCAGUGGCGAAGGCGGCUUUCUGGUCUGUAACUGACGCUGAGGCGCGAAAGCGUGGGGAGCAAACAGGAUUAGAUACCCUGGUAGUCCACGCCGUAAACGAUGAGUGCUAAGUGUUAGGGGUUUCCGCCCCCCUUAGUGCUGCAGCUAACGCAUUAAGCACUCCGCCUGGGGAGUACGGCCGCAAGGCUG